rnacentral:rRNA from 1 species
UACGGGGGGGGCGAGCGUUGUUCGGAAUUACUGGGCGUAAAGGGUGCGUAGGCGGUUCGCUAAGUUGGAUGGGAAAACUCUGGGCUUAACCCAGAGCCUGCAUCCAAUACUGACGAGCUAGAGUUCUGGAGGGGGUAGCGGAAUUCCUGGUGUAGCGGUGAAAUGCGUAGAUAUCAGGAGGAACACCGGUGGCGAAGGCGGCUACCUGGACAGAGUCUGACGCUGAGGCACGAAAGCUAGGGGAGCAAACAGG